rnacentral:rRNA from 1 species
UGCCGCGUGAGUGAAGAAGGCCCUAGGGUCGUAAAGCUCUUUCNNCAGGGAUGAUAAUGACAGUACCUGGUAAAGAAACCCCGGCUAACUCCGUGCCAGCAGCCGCGGUAAUACGGAGGGGGUUAGCGUUGUUCGGAAUUACUGGGCGUAAAGCGUACGUAGGCGGAUUAGUCAGUCAGAGGUGAAAUCCCAGGGCUCAACCCUGGAACUGCCUUUGAUACUGCUAGUCUUGAGUUCGAGAGAGGUGAGUGGAAUUCCAAGUGUAGAGGUGAAAUUCGUAGAUAUUUGGAGGAACACCAGUGGCGAAGGCGGCUCACUGGCUCGAUACUGACGCUGAGGUACGAAAGUGUGGGGAGCAAACAGGAUUAGAUACCCUGGUAGUCCACACCGUAAACGAUGAAUGCCAGUCGUCGGGUUGCAUUGCAAUUCGGUGACACACCUAACGGAUUAAGCAUUCCGCCUGGGGAGUACGGUCGCAAGAUUAAAACUCA